rnacentral:rRNA from 1 species
GAUACGAAACCGCGCAAGGCUCAUUACAACAGCUAAAAUGUAUACGGUGAGAUACCAUUAAAUGGAUAUCUGCGGUAAAUCUGGAGCUAAUACAUGCAAUAAUGACUAUAUAGUUAUGCUAUGUAGUUGCAGUUAUUAGAUUAAAACCAAUGGGCUCUGCCCAUAUAUGUUAACUCUAGAUAAUGCGUUACCAUACAGAUUUAUUUCUGAUGGAAUGCCGUAUUUGUAUCUGCCCUAUCAACUAUAUAACCGUGUAUUGAACGGUUAUGGUGUUGCCGGGUAACGGAGAAUUAGGGUUCGUCUCCGGAGAGAAUGCCUUAAAAACGGCUUUCACAUCCAAGGAAGGCAGCAGGCGCGAAAAUUACCCACUCUCAGUGCGAGGAGGUAGUGACGUGAAAUGACAAGUUGCAUUCUUUAUAGGAUGGAACAUUGGAAUGGUUUAAUUUUAAAUCCAUUAAAGAUUAUCAAUGAGAGGGCAAGUCUGGUGCCAGCAGCCGCGGUAAUUCCAGCUCUCAUACUGCAUUGAAUUGCUGUUGCGGUUAAAAAGUUCGUAGUUGCAAGUGUACGAUGAGGAAUGGUUCGUCUUAUUGACGAUACUAUAACUCUCGUUAAAAGGUUAUAUGUUGAAAGACAUAUACCCUAGUUACUUUGAAUAAAUCAGAAUGCUUAGAACAAGCGUAUUGGUUGGAUGGGUGUGCAUGGGAAUAACCAUACCAUGGAUUGAUAUUUGGUUUGGUGGGUUUAAUGGCCAUGAAUGAUUAAAAAGAACAAACGGGGGCAAAAGUAUCAUAAGGCGAGAAGUGAAAUUCGUGGACCCUUGUGAGACUGCCUAAAGCGAAAGCAUUGCCCAAGAAUGGAA